rnacentral:rRNA from 1 species
AUGUGCCACUAUGACUGGGCAACUUUGAGAAAGAACAAUCUCAAGAUGCCAAAGGUGAGAGAGGCACCGGAGCACGGUAAGCAUAAGGUCAGAACUGAUGAAUGCCCAUCAAACCACAUGAGAUCAAAAAAGUAUUGUUGUUAUGAUAACAGGAGAUGUGGCGAGAGAUUUUGGAAGCAUGGCAACAAACUGCUAGCUCCCACGUUAAACCGGCCAGUGAUCACUAUGCGCCACCAUGACUGGGCAACUUUGAGAAAGGUCAAUCUCAAGAAGCCAAAGGUGAGAGAGGCGCCGCACACACAAGUUCCAACAGCAAGAUUUGGCUAUGAUGUUCAUCGCACAGCAGUAUUCAAUUCAGUAGGAAAGCAAACUUGA